GGCUGAUUCUGGCAUGUGGAUAAAUUCUGGCGUGGCUAAAAUAACACACCCAAUUUAACUUGAUUGAUCAAGAAAAGAAUAAAUUUCAACCGAAGGUAAGAGAAACUCAGCAGGUUUGGCAGCAUCUAUGGAGCGAAGGAAAUAGGCAACGUUUCGGGUCGAGAUCCUUCUUCAGACGUUCUCAUUCUAUGACAUGUCAAAGUGCGUUAAGAAUCAUGCCACCUUUAUUUCUACAAAAAUCAGCUGAGAUUAAUGAACAUGGAGAUUUAUUGACAAAGCACUGCUUCAAAAUUGAGUGAAUAUCGGCCUGUAAUGGUCCCACAACUUGAGACAAUAGAUGGCUGGAAACACUCAGCUGUGAAGGACAAGAAUGCACAUAAUCGAGUGCAGAGGAGACAUGUGCGGAUGUUACCAGAACUGGAAAAUAGAGGCUAUGAGAGAAGAUUGGAUAAACUAUUGUUUUUCUUCCCCCUAUGCAACCGAGGAGGCUGGAUGUGAGACUUAAUUGAAGUUUAUGUCAUCAGGAUUGGGCCUGGAUGGAAUAAAUAUGAAUAAGCUAUUUCACCCAGAAAAGACUCAAAACCAGGAAGUAUAAAUUUAAAUACGGUUUGAGAAAAGCCAUAAUUCCGUAAGCAAAAUCAAGCAAAACCUCGUGGAGCCUCUGUAAUUGUCAAGUCAAGAAAGUCAAGUGUGUUUAAUUGUCAUAAGUAUCGACAAUGGAACAAUUACAUUUUUCCUUAUUAUAGCUUAACAAGCCCAUAACUCAAUACACACAGAUAAUAUGUAACAAUCGAGAAAUUCGAUAAAUUAAUAACCAUAAUACUAAAUCAAAAACACAGAUCAAUUUCAGAUCACUUCAGUAUCGUAAAGUUCGUAGUGUAA